rnacentral:lncRNA from 1 species
AAGAAUUUGCUAAAAAAGAGGGAAAUACUACUACUUUCAUGUUAGCACACCUUUUUAGUUUAUCAACAAUUUACUUUACCGAUGGAAAAUUAAAUCAGAAAGUACAUUAUUUUAGCAACUAUUAAUUAUGUUUUCCUAUUUUUCUCCGGCCGUUAUUAGUAUAACUUAUCUAUUAGUUAUGUUGUUUUUAAUUCUCCGUGGACAACAGUAAAGAGGUAUUCCUCCACUUUCUCAUAUCAA